rnacentral:rRNA from 1 species
CCUACGGGUGGCAGCAGUGGGGGAUAUUGCACAAUGGGCGCAAGCCUGAUGCAGCGACGCCGCGUGGAGGAAGAAGGUUUUCGGAUUGUAAACUCCUGUCUUCAGGGACGAUAAUUACGGUACCUGAGGAGGAAGCCACGGCUAACUACGUUCCAGCAGCCGCGGUAAUACGUAGGUGGCAAGCGUGGUCCGGAAUUACUGGGUGUAACGGGGGCGUAGGCGGGACAGCAAGUCCAGUGUGAAAUCUAUCGGCUCAACCGAUAGCUGCGCUGGAAACUGUGGUUCUUGAGUGAAGUAGAGGCAGGCGGAAUUCCUAGUGUAGCGGUGAAAUGCGUAGAUAUUAGGAGGAACACCAGUGGCGAAGGCGGCUGGCUGGGCUGCAACUGACGCUGAGGCUCGAAAGCAUGGGUAGCGAACAGGAUUAGAUACCCUAGUAGUC